rnacentral:rRNA from 1 species
UACGGGGGGGGGAAGCGUUGUUCGGAAUUACUGGGCGUAAAGGGUUCGUAGGCGGCCAACUAAGUCAGACGUGAAAUCCCUCAGCUUAACUGGGGAACUGCGUGUGAUACUGGAUGGCUUGGAUUUGGGAGAGGGAUGCGGAAUUCCAGGUGUAGCGGCGAAAUGCGUAGAUAUCUGGAGGAGCACCGGUGGCGAAGGCGGCAUCCUGGACCGGUAUUGACGCUGAGGCGCGAAAGCCAGGGGAGCAAACGGG